UGAGGAAUAUUGGUCAAUGGGCGUAAGCCUGAACCAGCCAUCCCGCGUGAAGGAAGAAGGCGCUAUGCGUCGUAAACUUCUUUUCCAGAGGAAGAAAACCCCCGACGUGUCGGGGCUUGCCGGUACUCUGGGAAUAAGCAUCGGCUAACUCCGUGCCAGCAGCCGCGGUAAUACGGAGGAUGCGAGCGUUAUCCGUAUUUAUUGGGUUUAAAGGGUGCGUAGGCGGAUGGAUAAGUCAGCGGUGAAAACCUUCAGCUUAACUGGAGAAUUGCCGUUGAUACUGUGAGUCUUGAGUACGGUCAAGGUAGGCGGAAUGUGUAAUGUAGCGGUGAAAUGCUUAGAUAUUACACAGAACACCGAUUGCGAAGGCAGCUUACUGGACCAAUACUGACGCUGAGGCACGAAAGCGUGGGGAGCGAACA
rnacentral:rRNA from 1 species